rnacentral:rRNA from 1 species
UAGGGAAUCUUCCACAAUGGACGCAAGUCUGAUGGAGCAACGCCGCGUGAGUGAAGAAGGUUUUCGGAUCGUAAAGCUCUGUUGUUGGUGAAGAAGGAUAGAGGCAGUAACUGGUCUUUAUUUGACGGUAAUCAACCAGAAAGUCACGGCUAACUACGUGCCAGCAGCCGCGGUAAUACGUAGGUGGCAAGCGUUGUCCGGAUUUAUUGGGCGUAAAGCGAGCGCAGGCGGAAUGAUAAGUCUGAUGUGAAAGCCCACGGCUCAACCGUGGAACUGCAUCGGAAACUGUCAUUCUUGAGUGCAGAAGAGGAGAGUGGAACUCCAUGUGUAGCGGUGGAAUGCGUAGAUAUAUGGAAGAACACCAGUGGCGAAGGCGGCUCUCUGGUCUGCAACUGACGCUGAGGCUCGAAAGCAUGGGUAGCGAACAGGGUUAGAUACCCUGGUAGUCCAUGCCGUAAACGAUGAGCGCUAGGUGUUGGGGACUUUCCGGUCCUCAGUGCCGCAGCAAACGCAUUAAGCGCUCCGCCUGGGGAGUACGACCGCAAGGUUGAA